CAAAAGAGGGCCCGCGGUUAAUUUCUGUUCCAGCACCCCGGGGAAAAGGUAAGGGUGCGAGGCGGUUAAUUCGGGAUUAUUGGGUCGUAAGCGUGGCCCAGGCGGAUUGUAAGGCAAGGACGGUGAAUUCCCCGGACUAAACCUGGGAAUGGCGGUUUGAGCUGGCAGUUUAGAGUCGUUCAGAGGGGGGUGGAGUUUCACGUGUAGCAGUGAAAUGCGUUAGAGAUGUGGAGGAACACCGAUGGCGAAGGGCAGCCCCCUGGGAUGACACUGACGUUCAUGUACGAAAAGCUUGGGUAGCAAAACAGGAUUAGAUACCUUGGUAGUCACGCCCUAAACGAUGUCAACUGGUUGUUGGGGGAGUGAAAUCCCUUAGUAACGAAGCUAACGCGUGAAGUUGACCGCUUGGGGAGUACGGUCGCAAGAAUAAAACUCAAAGGAAUUGACGGGGACCCGCACAAGCGGUGGAUGAUGUGGAUUAAUUCGAUGCAACGCGAAAAACCUUACCUACCCUUGACAUGUCCGGAAUCCUGCAGAGACGCGGGAGUGCCCGAAAGGGAAUCGGAACACAGGUGCUGCAUGGCUGUCGUCAGCUCGUGUCGUGAGAUGUUGGGUUAAGUCCCGCAACGAGCGCAACCCUUAUUGUUAGUUGCCAUCAUUAAGUUGGGCACUCUAGCGAGACUGCCCGGGUUAACCGGGAGGAAGGUGGGGAUGACGUCAAAUCAUCAUGCCCCUUCAGGAAACGGCUAUGCCCAUGAUUCAAUCAACGGAACAAUAAGACGCAAUCGAAUGAGCGGGAGCAAAAUCGGAAAACCGAUGUCAUUUCCCAUAGUAGGGUGAAACAGGCGUCCAUGAAGCUGGAGUUGCUAGUAAUUUUACAAUCAGCAUGUAGGAUCAAAUACGUUCCCGGGCGGGGUACACUCCGCCCAGGAUCAAACUUCCUGGGUCAGGUUGUCAAGGCUGAGCCAGGAUCAAGCUCCUGGGUCAGUUUGUACACACCGACCCAAGAUCAAGAUCAUCGGUCAGUUUGUACACGCUGAGCCUGGAUCAAGAUCAUGGGUCAGGUGUUCCACACGAGCCGUGGUCAAUCUUUACGGGUCGGGUGUUCCACACGACCGGUAGUCAAUGUUCACAAUCGAAUUCCCGCGGCC
rnacentral:rRNA from 1 species